rnacentral:rRNA from 1 species
AGCAGUAGCCGCGGUAAUACGAGGGGGGCAAGCGUUGUUCGGAAUUAUUGGGCGUAAAGGGUGCGUAGGCGGUUUGAUAAGUCUGAUGUGAAAUCUCUGGGCUCAACCCAGAGUCUGCAUCGGAAACUGUCGGGCUUGAGGAUGGGAGAGGUGAGUGGAAUUUCCGGUGUAGCGGUGAAAUGCGUAGAGAUGUGGAGGAACACCAGUGGCGAAGGCGACUCUCUGGUCUGUAACUGACGCUGAGGAGCGAAAGCGUGGGGAGCGAACAGGAUUAGAUACCCCUGUAGUCCCUGUCUCUUAUAC